GUAGCUCAGUUGGUAGAGCAGGCGGCUGUUAACCGCCUUGUCGUAGGUUCGAGUCCUACC
rnacentral:tRNA from 1 species